rnacentral:rRNA from 1 species
CCUGUAUCCGCCUGAGAACUACGAGCACAAACGCUUAAAACUCUAAGGACUUGGCGGUGCCCUAAACCCACCUAGAGGAGCCUGUUCUAUAAUCGAUAAUCCACUGAUCCACCCAACCACCCCUUGCCGAACANGCCUACAUACCUGCCGUCUGCCAUGCCCACCUAAAUGAAAGACCAAAAGUGAGCUCAAUAGCCUCCGCUAACAAGACAGGUCAAGGUAUAGCCCAUGGGGUGGAAGAAAUGGGCUACAUUUUCUAACGUAGAAUAUAACGAAAAAGGACAUGAAACCNGUCCUUGGAAGGAGGAUNUUGCAGUAAAAUAGGACCNAUACCCUUUAAGCCUAUUUAAAGACNGCCCU